CAUCAAGUAAUAACAUCUCGCAAAAUUCGCGGCUUCCAAUUUUGAGGUCUUCUAUAUCAUCGUAACAAUUCCUUGCUUCCUCCUCCAACUCAUUGAUGCAACUAUCCACAUCAAGCCUCUCCUUUCGUCUAAGAAACCGUCGUAGGUACAAUAGUUUGUUCUUUUGCAUUGGACGAAAUUGAGGUUUUCCAUUAUGGUAAGGACCAAUAGAGACCAUCUUUGGUGUAUAAGCAUCUGGAUUUGAUUCACGUAGCCCCACAUUUACUUUGAAUAUGCUAAUUGGUUUAACACGCGAAUUGAAUAAAUUCUCAAAUAAAGGAUCCACUUUCCUCCCUCCUUCUAUCUGUAACAAAAAGAGUAAAAUGUUUAUUAGAACCAAUUUUUUUUUGUUAAGUGUAAAAGGUCUCAAUUUUGGAGAUCGAAUAUGUCUCGAUAAAAAAAAAUUAGUGCAUAUAUACAUUCUUUCUUUCUUUAUGCAUUUUAUAAACACGAUGAAUUAAGAAUUGUUAGAAUGAUAAAGAUUUUGAUAAUUGACAAAUACAAAAACAGAUGAAAGAAACAAACGUGUUCCUUACAGAACGAAUCCGACUUGGAUAAGGAGAACGUCAACCACGUGAAUUAGAAGUUAUAAAGCUGUGGAAUUAUUAUUUUUUCGACAAGCAAAAAGUACAAAAAGUUUCCUUUUAUAAAGGAGUUCAAAGCCAAGUGAAAGAAGGAAAACUAAUUCCUAUUUAAGGAAAUCUAUUUAAGGAAAUUGUGUAUUCUUAUUUAUUAAGGAAAUUCUGUAGAAAAGGAGUCCAAGUAGAUUUGUAGAAGGCAAAUACAAGUUGAAUUAUUCAAGGAUUUGUUGAAGUUUUGAUCUAUAAAUAGGGAGCUAUUUGCAUCAAAAAAAAUUGCGCACUUACAUAAAGAGAAGAUCAAAACACGAUCAAGAAGUUUGAAAGAGUUUUGAGAUUUAUUGAGAGUGUAGCAAUUUGUGAGGAAAAAUUGUAAGAUUGUAUUCAAGAGUCUUGUUUACAAUCUGAGUUUUGUGAGUAGGAGUUGUUCAACAAGUUGUAGAACUUGAAGAACAUUGGAAGAUAUUAAACCGGGGGUUUUUGUGUCUUUGGGUAGCUAGAAAUUAGAGUUUAUAAUUUCUUAGCUAGGAAUUAGAGUUUAUAAUUCCUCUAGGAAUUAGAGUUUAUAAUUCCUUAGGUUACAUAACUUUGUAAUCUUUUGUUGAGACUUGAAAUUUAAUAAAGUGGAGUUAAAUCCUACAGAGGUGUAGGUCGUGAUUUUUACCCUUGUGAGUUGGGGUUUUCCGCGAUAGAAUAUUGUGUCAUUAUUUUAUUUACUUCACAAAACGUAAUUGCUGUAAUUUCUCAAAGGAACAUAUAGAAUAAACCUGUUCCUAAGGCGAAUUUGGGGGUCAGAAUUCCAACAAGAAUUUUUUAAUUCUAAAAAUAUCAUUUGACUUUAAAAACUUACUCAUCUAUGUUCUUUGUCCCUAAAAUUAUAGGAAAGGAAAUAAUCUAAAAAAUUAUAUAUUUGUAUAGUUGAGAGAAAAAAAAACCUCAUCUUGAUAAGUUUGAGAAAGCAGUGGAAUUUGAUCAUCUAUUUCAAUGGAGUGUUCCAUCCCUUUUCCUUGAACGAUAAAUUCUACAAAAAACACAUUCUUUGUAAUUAGAUACCAUGACUAUUAUGGUUAUUAUCCAAAGCAAUAAAUUAAUGGCAAAUUGAGGGAGUAUUAGACACUUAAUUGCCCAAAAAAAAUAAAAAUUAAGAAUAAUGUGUAUUGUAUACCUUAAAGGGGUUGUUUGGUAGCAUAUUAAAGUUAUGAGAAAUGUAGGGAUUAGUUAUAACUUAUGAGGAAAUCUAUAUACUUUCUCCAUUUCAAAAAGAAUGCCCUAGUUUGACUUGGAACAAAGUUUAAGAAAAGAAAGAAGACUUUUUAAUUUUGUGGUUUUAAAGUGUUGCCAAAAAGGAAAUAGAGACAUUCUUUUUUAAACGGAGGGAGUAUUAUUUUAUGUAUGUAUUAUUAAUAUGUAAAGAUUAGUUAUUCAUGCAUAAGUUAUUCUAUUCUAUCUCGCAUAAAAUAAUACAUAGAUUCUCUCAUAUCUUAUAAUAUAUAUACAUCUUAUACGAGUUUCUAAAUUGUCAAUCAAAUGUCAUAUUAAUGCCUACCUACCAAUUAACACCAUAUAAAUUAUACAAUAAUUAAUAAGUGAAUAACUUUUUCCUUAUAAAUUGAUAUUAUUACCUCUUUGGUUUGGCUGUUUCUUCUUUUGUAUUUAUUCAACUCUUGCUUCUCUCGGAUUUUUCAUUGCUAUGAAGUACUUAUUAUAUAGAGAAAAAAAAGAAGAGAGAGAUUGAUAAAUACUGUUAAUUGUAGGGUAGGGGGUGUCAAUGUUAGGUUCGAUCGAUUAUUUUAUAAAAUUUAAAUAAAGGUAUAGUAUCAUCUUCAACUUCAUCAUCUCAUUUUUUUUUGUGGUAUCCACAAUUUCUUCUAUGUUCUGGACCUCUUAACAUGUUUCACUGUCACUCGGAUAAUCCAACAGGUUAUUGACAUCCAUUUUAUUUUGGUAACUGAGACCAUUAAUCAAUGACCUCAAGUUCAUUAGUGAGGUAGGUUCAUUAUAAUUCUCUGAGAUUGCAUCCCCUGAACGAAUUUUAUAGUGUCGAAAAUUAUUUGUGAUUAUCUCUUGCCGAACAUUUUUUGUCCGAACAGGGAUUGCAAAAUUCACAACAUCCAAAAUAUUAAUCUUUAGUGGAUCAGUUUGUCCCACUACAUAGUCUUCUGAUAUCCUACAAUGAAAUAUCUUGAAAACUCUUAUCAUCCCAACAACACAAGAACGAAAUUAGUAAGAUACAAUAAUUUUGAUGUAUUCGCUGUACUUUAUGUAUCACAUUUUUUUAAUGUGAAAUCAAUAAAUAUGAUACAUAAAUUAGUAAGAUACAAUGAUUUUGAUAUAUUCAAAAUUAACCUUCAUUAAAACUUAAAUCAUUCUUUAAAUUAAUAUAUAUAUACUAUCGAUUACAUAAUAUCUCUAUAAAAUAAUAAAAUGUCAUGGUCCAACUAUAUUAAUUUAUAGAGAUUUUACCGUAGUAAAAAGGACUACAUUUUCUCGUUGCUGUUAAUAGAAGUCGUAGGACUAUUCUUGUAAUUUCUUAUUCUUCGACUUCUAGCUAUUGCUAUUUAUGAUUUAAUGUAGUUCAAUUAUAAUAUUAUUUUGUUGUAGUACUGUUAUGCUAUACUAUUUUUUUUUAAAAAAAUUAUCUUUUGCUUUUUGUACUUAAUUUUAUUACGUCUUUUCUGAAUUGUUUUUAUCUUGAGCCGAAGAUCUAUCAAGAAUAACCUCUUCAUAUCACAUAAUACCAAGUAUACUUUCGUAGAAUAUUGUUAAAAACUCUCUAGACAUUUUUACAAUUUAAAAAGUGAUGAAUCAAAAAAUAUGAAAGGCAGUAACAAUCGAUAUUCAUCCCACUAUUUUACCGUAAUGUAAAAUGGAGUUAAACAAAGAUAGAAAAUUAAAACGUAUGGCCUCAAGAAUUAGGUGUACUAAAAUUAAGUAUCUAUUUAAUAAGAGAUUUAGUAUCGUGGCUGUUCGAUAUUUAAUAUUUUAUAUUUUUAUUGGGUGUGUUCGGUAAGAAGGAAAAUGUUUUUCGUUGAAAAUUUUUCCUUAAAAAAUAUGUUGAUUUCUAACUUAUUUUCUCAUGUUUGGUUGGUGAGUUAAAAAUAUUUCCUAUUAUUUAAUUAAUGAAUGAAAAUAUUUUUUUCUCUAGAAUUUAUCUUUUAUGUUAUGAAUAGAGAGUAGAAAAUCUCUUUAGGAAAAUAGUUUCUAACAUAAAAAUCAACCUCACCCCAACAACCGAUUCGAGACUGAUCCCCAUGACCGAUUCGUGAUCUGACAUCAAUCCCCAACUUAGGAGACCAUAACUCCUAAUCCAAAACUUGGUAUUCGAAUUGAGACCCGACCCUGACCCUGACAUCUGAUCCAAAACAUGACUUCAACUCCCAAUUCGAGACUCGAUCCCAACCUCAACACCUGAACCAACACAAGAGCCCGACGAUCUAUUCAAAAUGCAACUCUGAGACCUAAACCUAACUUUUGCCUGAAACCUAACAUUCAAAUAAUGACCCGACCCCGACACUUGCACAAGCAUUCGAUAUGGGACCUGCCCCCGACUCCCGAUCUAGAACUCAACUUUCGAACGGGGACGGUGGGACCCAACUUGACUUCCGACCCUAGAUUCGACUUCCUACCCAACUGGGAACCUUACUUCCGAAUCGGGAUUUAAAUUUCUUAUUUUUUAAAAAAAUUAAUUUUUUUUGGGGUGGGGUGAUAGGGAGUUGAGAUAGGAGUGGAAUAAAAAUAACUAAAAUAGUUAAAAUUUGAAAUAUUUGAAAAAACAAACAAACUGGGGAUGGUAGGGGUGGGCCGGUGGGGGUAAAAAUCCCAAUUUUUUUUAAAAAUUCGAGGUUUUCAAUCUUUUUUUCGUUGGGGGCUGAGGCUAGUUUGGAGGUAGGAAUUAAUAAAAUGAAAUUAUUUUUUAAAAAGAAAUUUUAAUUUUUUUAAUUUUAACUUGGAUGGGAAGGGUAGGGAUACGAGGCGAGGCAAGGAAAGAUUCGUUAUUUGAGGUUGGAGAAGAGUUUAAAUAUUUACUUUAUUUUUUAAGGUAAGUUAUCUUUUAAAAUUUGAAAAAAAAAGUUGAAUUGAAAAAUAUUUUUUAAAUAUUUAAUCCAACCGAAUAUAUCGCUCAAACACACCUGUUCUUGGCCGACGACUCAAGUCAAUGACUAUAUAUUUUCUACUAUAUUUAACUUUUGAGUACGAAAAAGAAAAUUAGGUCUAAAAUUAAUAUCACAAAGAUAAGGUAGUUGAGAAGGUUCUUUAAUACCACAACAAAAAGUACAAACAUAUUAUUUAAUUUUAGUUUCAAGAAGACUUUAUUUCUAUGUCUCCUUUUGAGUAAAUUAAUUAUCAAAGUAUGUGAUCAACGAGGAUCGAUUUGAAGUUGAGAGUACUCUUUAUUUUUAAUCAAAAGUCUUAACUGUUAAGAAACACUUUACUUUUUUUUUUCUUUUAACCAUUAAUAUGGAACUUUGUUCACACAUUUUCAUUAAUCGAACAGCAAAGAAACUAAGUUGAAUCCUAUCCUAUCUUGCCAAACCACUUACCAGUAUGAAAUAAUAUAUAUAUAUAUAUAUAUAUAUAUAUAUAUAUAUAUAUAUAUAUAUAUAUAUAUAUAUAUCGAACUUUACAAGACUUGUUUAAUUCAAAUUGAAACUUUUGAAGGUGUAUUUAGUCAACGUAGAAUUAUAAGCGAAUACUUAAGCUUCCCCUUUCACUUCGUUUUGAUGUCUAGUUAUAUUGUUCAUUUCCUCAUGUAUAAAUUACUUCCAUUUAAAAAAAAACAUUAACUUUUUUACCGUUUAUUUAAAAAAAAGAACGACUUUUUAUUAUAUUCUUGAUAACAAUACUUUAAUUUCAAUUUUUCACGUGAUAUAUUUAAGAUAAUAAUAUUAAAAAAUAUUUGACAUAUUUUUAAUUUAGAAUUACUAAAUUAUUAUUUUCUUUAAAAAAACUUUAUGUUAAAUUAAAUUAGGUCAUUAUUUUCAUAAUAGAAAAAAUAUUAUAUUCUCAAAUAUUUCACUUUCAGUGCUAGAAAGUAAGGUGCAAAAAUUAAUUUUACAACCUGUCCACCAUUAAUAAUGUAUUAAUACACAUGAUUCACACAUGUUUUUUAAAUGCUUACUUCCUCUUCGAUAUACUCUCUUCUUAGUACAUUGUUUUAUUUUGGAGUAAUAUUCAGAUUUUUUUUCUUGCUUGUUUUUUAAUCGAUAUUUCUAUUGUUUAAAUUUGCCUAAUCUUUAAACAAAUGUUUAUAGUAUGUCAAAAAAAAUUCUUUUUUUACCAUGAACAAGCCACAAAAGUUUAUAGUUUGUGUAAAAAUCAAUGUCCCUAAUAUCUAGUUUAUCUUUAAGUAUCCAACUAUAUCUAUUGUCUUCUUCGUCAGCUUCAAGGAACUAGUUAAUUUUUUUCCUCGACAACAAGACUAAAUUUUCGUAUUGAUAUAACAACAAAUCCUCGUAAAUGAACAUAGUAUACACUAUAAAAUUGAAGUAGUAGAUUUUCAUAUAGAAUGGAUUAAUCCUCUCUUAUAGAUACAUUUAACAAGUUGUCAUUUAAAAAAUUAAAAAAAAAAAUUACUAAUAAAUUAAAAAUGUGAUACGGAAUUCUAGAAGUAGAGAAGUAAUGUAUUUUUUAUGUCAAGUAUAUCAUAAAAAAAAAACAACAUUAAAUGAUAUUGUAAUACUAAAACAAACGUAAUUGAUAUUUCUAAAUAAUUUUUUCCAAAUAUGAAUCACUAUCCAGAGAACUACUCCUUUUUUGAUCUAGAAAUGUAUAAUCAUGAUUUUUCUAUAGACACAUUACAUAUAUAACAUGGUUUUUUUGACAAAUAAUGUUACCAGGAGUAUUAUUUAAUUCUGUCUGCCAUAACAUUAGCGAUAAGUAAACAUAUUACUUUUCCAUAUCCCACAAGUGAGAUCACACAAAGUAUAUAUGUUACUGUUGUGAGUGAAGCGGUUGAUCAAUUCAAUUUUGCUAUUGGAAAAGUACUUAGUACCAAAUGAAACUCAAGGAGAUUUCCAUCUUCAGCUAGUCGAUUCCAAACUCCCCUAGCUAGUAGGGCUCCAUAUGAACAUUGGAACAAUAAUGAGAAAAAUGCUACUUUACAUGCAUAGACCUUUUUCUAUCGGCGAAAUGCAUUUUAUUACAUACUUUGAGAAUGAACUAAAGAUUAAAAAUUUACCUCAAAUCACAAGCAAGUUUGCCUCAAAUAGAAAUAUGAAUUUUAUAAAUAUGAGCUGAAAUUAUUAGCUUUAAUCAGUAGUACCCCAUAAUGGAGGUGAGACAAUAUUAAGCUCAUCAACACACAAAUUUCAUAACGAGGAAUCAUUUGAUGAGUCAAUAAAUAACUACAACCCAUAACAAAGAUUACUUAUUAACAUAACCGGUAAAAGUCAGAACAGUCUGUAUAACACACCAAUUUGAUGAUGUCGUCUUGUUUUUCCUCUUCUUUAUAGUCCUCUCGAAUAAAUUCAAUCACAAAACAAUCAUUAAACAACAAUAUUUUUAAAAAAUUGUCAACAAUAUCAGUGUCAAGGUUGUCGUUAUAGCACUUUAGUGCAACGUUUUUUAUUCUCUCCAAUUCAUUGAUGCAACUUUCAACAUUAAGCCCAUUUUCCCUCCGGAGAUACCGUCGUAGGUACAACAAUUUGUACUUUUUUAUGGAGCCAAAUUGAGGAUUUUUCUUGUGAUAAGGACCAAUGGAUAUUAGCAUUGGCGUAUAAGCAUCUUCAUUUGAUUUUCCUAGCCCCACAUUUAGUAAUAUGAUUGCAGAUUAUGCAGUUUCCAAUUUAAGGUAUUCUUAUCAUCGUAACAAUUUCUUCUUCCUCUUUGAAUUCAUAGAUGCAACUAUCCACAUCAAGCCUCUCCUUUCGUCUAAGAAAGUAAUCGUAGGUACAAUAGUAAAAAUUGCUUUUGCAUUGGACGAAAUUGAGGUUUUCCAUUAUUAUAAGGAACAAUAGAGACCAUCUUGGUGUAUAAGCAUCUGGAUUUGAUUCACGUAGCCCACAUUUACUUUGAAUAUGCUAAUUGGUUUAACACGCGAAUUGAAUAAAUUUCAAAUAAAGGAUCCACUUUCCUCCCUCCUUCUAUCUGUAACCUUUUGAGUAAAAUGUUUAUUAGAACCAAUUUUUUUUUGUUAAGUGUGGUCUCAAUUUUGAGAGAUCGAAUAUGUCUCGAUAAAAAAAAACAUUAGUGCAUAUAUACAUUCUUUAGAGCUUUAUGCAUUUUCAUAAACACGAUGAAUUAAGAAUUGUUAGAAUGAUCAAGAUUUUGAUAAUUGACAAAUACAAAAACAGAUGAAAGAAACAAACGUGUUCCUUACAGAACGAAUCCGACUUGGAUAAGGAGAACGUCAACCACGUGAAUUAGAAGUUAUAAAGCUGUGGAAUUAUUAUUUUUUCGACAAGCAAAAAGUACAAAAAGUUUCCUUUUAUAAAGGAGUUCAAAGCCAAGUGAAAGAAGGAAAACUAAUUCCUAUUUAAGGAAAUCUAUUUAAGGAAAUUGUGUAUUCUUAUUUAUUAAGGAAAUUCUGUAGAAAAGGAGUCCAAGUAGAUUUGUAGAAGGCAAAUACAAGUUGAAUUAUUCAAGGAUUUGUUGAAGUUUUGAUCUAUAAAUAGGGAGCUAUUUGCAUCAAAAAAAAAUUGCGCACUUACAUAAAGAGAAGAUCAAAACACGAUCAAGAAGUUUGAAAGAGUUUUGAGAUUUAUUGAGAGUGUAGCAAUUUGUGAGGAAAAAUUGUAAGAUUGUAUUCAAGAGUCUUGUUUACAAUCUGAGUUUUGUGAGUAGGAGUUGUUCAACAAGUUGUAGAACUUGAAGAACAUUGGAAGAUAUUAAACCGGGGGUUUUUGUGUCUUUGGGUAGCUAGAAAUUAGAGUUUAUAAUUUCUUAGCUAGGAAUUAGAGUUUAUAAUUCCUCUAGGAAUUAGAGUUUAUAAUUCCUUAGGUUACAUAACUUUGUAAUCUUUUGUUGAGACUUGAAAUUUAAUAAAGUGGAGUUAAAUCCUACAGAGGUGUAGGUCGUGAUUUUUACCCUUGUGAGUUGGGGUUUUCCGCGAUAGAAUAUUGUGUCAUUAUUUUAUUUACUUCACAAAACGUAAUUGCUGUAAUUUCUCAAAGGAACAUAUAGAAUAAACCUGUUCCUAAGGCGAAUUUGGGGGUCAGAAUUCCAACAAGAAUUUUUAAUUCUAAAAAUAUCAUUUGACUUUAAAAACUUACUCAUCUAUGUUCUUUGUCCCUAAAAUUAUAGGAAAGAAAAUAAUCUAAAAAAUUAUAUAUUUGUAUAGUUGAGAGAAAAAAAACCUCAUCUUGAUAAGUUUGAGAAAGCAGUGGAAUUUGAUCAUCUAUUUCAAUGGAGUGUUCCAUCCCUUUUCCUUGAACGAUAAAUUCUACAAAAAACACAUUCUUUGUAAUUAGAUACCAUGACUAUUAUGGUUAUUAUCCAAAGCAAUAAAUUAAUGGCAAAUUGAGGGAGUAUUAGACACUUAAUUGCCCAAAAAAAAUAAAAUUAAGAAUAAUGUGUAUUGUAUACCUUAAAGGGGUUGUUUGGUAGCAUAUUAAAGUUAUGAGAAAUGUAGGGAUUAGUUAUAACUUAUGAGGAAAUCUAUAUACUUUCUCCAUUUCAAAAAGAAUGCCCUAGUUUGACUUGGAACAAAGUUUAAGAAAAGAAAGAAGACUUUUUAAUUUUGUGGUUUUAAAGUGUUGCCAAAAAGGAAAUAGAGACAUUCUUUUUUAAACGGAGGGAGUAUUAUUUUAUGUAUGUAUUAUUAAUAUGUAAAGAUUAGUUAUUCAUGCAUAAGUUAUUCUAUUCUAUCUCGCAUAAAAUAAUACAUAGAUUCUCUCAUAUCUUAUAAUAUAUAUACAUCUUAUACGAGUUUCUAAAUUGUCAAUCAAAUGUCAUAUUAAUGCCUACCUACCAAUUAACACCAUAUAAAUUAUACAAUAAUUAAUAAGUGAAUAACUUUUUCCUUAUAAAUUGAUAUUAUUACCUCUUUGGUUUGGCUGUUUCUUCUUUUGUAUUUAUUCAACUCUUGCUUCUCUCGGAUUUUUCAUUGCUAUGAAGUACUUAUUAUAUAGAGAAAAAAAAGAAGAGAGAGAUUGAUAAAUACUGUUAAUUGUAGGGUAGGGGGUGUCAAUGUUAGGUUCGAUCGAUUAUUUUAUAAAAUUUAAAUAAAGGUAUAGUAUCAUCUUCAACUUCAUCAUCUCAUUUUUUUUUUGUGGUAUCCACAAUUUCUUCUAUGUUCUGGACCUCUUAACAUGUUUCACUGUCACUCGGAUAAUCCAACAGGUUAUUGACAUCCAUUUUAUUUUGGUAACUGAGACCAUUAAUCAAUGACCUCAAGUUCAUUAGUGAGGUAGGUUCAUUAUAAUUCUCUGAGAUUGCAUCCCCUGAACGAAUUUUAUAGUGUCGAAAAUUAUUUGUGAUUAUCUCUUGCCGAACAUUUUUUGUCCGAACAGGGAUUGCAAAAUUCACAACAUCCAAAAUAUUAAUCUUUAGUGGAUCAGUUUGUCCCACUACAUAGUCUUCUGAUAUCCUACAAUGAAAUAUCUUGAAAACUCUUAUCAUCCCAACAACACAAGAACGAAAUUAGUAAGAUACAAUAAUUUUGAUGUAUUCGCUGUACUUUAUGUAUCACAUUUUUUUAAUGUGAAAUCAAUAAAUAUGAUACAUAAAUUAGUAAGAUACAAUGAUUUUGAUAUAUUCAAAAUUAACCUUCAUUAAAACUUAAAUCAUUCUUUAAAUUAAUAUAUAUAUACUAUCGAUUACAUAAUAUCUCUAUAAAAUAAUAAAAUGUCAUGGUCCAACUAUAUUAAUUUAUAGAGAUUUUACCGUAGUAAAAAGGACUACAUUUUCUCGUUGCUGUUAAUAGAAGUCGUAGGACUAUUCUUGUAAUUUCUUAUUCUUCGACUUCUAGCUAUUGCUAUUUAUGAUUUAAUGUAGUUCAAUUAUAAUAUUAUUUUGUUGUAGUACUGUUAUGCUAUACUAUUUUUUUUUAAAAAAAUUAUCUUUUGCUUUUUGUACUUAAUUUUAUUACGUCUUUUCUGAAUUGUUUUUAUCUUGAGCCGAAGAUCUAUCAAGAAUAACCUCUUCAUAUCACAUAAUACCAAGUAUACUUUCGUAGAAUAUUGUUAAAAACUCUCUAGACAUUUUUACAAUUUAAAAAGUGAUGAAUCAAAAAAUAUGAAAGGCAGUAACAAUCGAUAUUCAUCCCACUAUUUUACCGUAAUGUAAAAUGGAGUUAAACAAAGAUAGAAAAUUAAAACGUAUGGCCUCAAGAAUUAGGUGUACUAAAAUUAAGUAUCUAUUUAAUAAGAGAUUUAGUAUCGUGGCUGUUCGAUAUUUAAUAUUUUAUAUUUUUAUUGGGUGUGUUCGGUAAGAAGGAAAAUGUUUUUCGUUGAAAAUUUUUCCUUAAAAAAUAUGUUGAUUUCUAACUUAUUUUCUCAUGUUUGGUUGGUGAGUUAAAAAUAUUUCCUAUUAUUUAAUUAAUGAAUGAAAAUAUUUUUUCUCUAGAAUUUAUCUUUUAUGUUAUGAAUAGAGAGUAGAAAAUCUCUUUAGGAAAAUAGUUUCUAACAUAAAAAUCAACCUCACCCCAACAACCGAUUCGAGACUGAUCCCCAUGACCGAUUCGUGAUCUGACAUCAAUCCCCAACUUAGGAGACCAUAACUCCUAAUCCAAAACUUGGUAUUCGAAUUGAGACCCGACCCUGACCCUGACAUCUGAUCCAAAACAUGACUUCAACUCCCAAUUCGAGACUCGAUCCCAACCUCAACACCUGAACCAACACAAGAGCCCGACGAUCUAUUCAAAAUGCAACUCUGAGACCUAAACCUAACUUUUGCCUGAAACCUAACAUUCAAAUAAUGACCCGACCCCGACACUUGCACAAGCAUUCGAUAUGGGACCUGCCCCCGACUCCCGAUCUAGAACUCAACUUUCGAACGGGGACGGUGGGACCCAACUUGACUUCCGACCCUAGAUUCGACUUCCUACCCAACUGGGAACCUUACUUCCGAAUCGGGAUUUAAAUUUCUUAUUUUUUAAAAAAUUAAUUUUUUUUGGGGUGGGGUGAUAGGGAGUUGAGAUAGGAGUGGAAUAAAAAUAACUAAAAUAGUUAAAAUUUGAAAUAUUUGAAAAAACAAACAAACUGGGGAUGGUAGGGGUGGGCCGGUGGGGGUAAAAAUCCCAAUUUUUUUUAAAAAUUCGAGGUUUUCAAUCUUUUUUUCGUUGGGGGCUGAGGCUAGUUUGGAGGUAGGAAUUAAUAAAAUGAAAUUAUUUUUUAAAAAGAAAUUUUAAUUUUUUUAAUUUUAACUUGGAUGGGAAGGGUAGGGAUACGAGGCGAGGCAAGGAAAGAUUCGUUAUUUGAGGUUGGAGAAGAGUUUAAAUAUUUACUUUAUUUUUUAAGGUAAGUUAUCUUUUAAAAUUUGAAAAAAAAAGUUGAAUUGAAAAAUAUUUUUUAAAUAUUUAAUCCAACCGAAUAUAUCGCUCAAACACACCUGUUCUUGGCCGACGACUCAAGUCAAUGACUAUAUAUUUUCUACUAUAUUUAACUUUUGAGUACGAAAAAGAAAAUUAGGUCUAAAAUUAAUAUCACAAAGAUAAGGUAGUUGAGAAGGUUCUUUAAUACCACAACAAAAAGUACAAACAUAUUAUUUAAUUUUAGUUUCAAGAAGACUUUAUUUCUAUGUCUCCUUUUGAGUAAAUUAAUUAUCAAAGUAUGUGAUCAACGAGGAUCGAUUUGAAGUUGAGAGUACUCUUUAUUUUUAAUCAAAAGUCUUAACUGUUAAGAAACACUUUACUUUUUUUUUUCUUUUAACCAUUAAUAUGGAACUUUGUUCACACAUUUUCAUUAAUCGAACAGCAAAGAAACUAAGUUGAAUCCUAUCCUAUCUUGCCAAACCACUUACCAGUAUGAAAUAAUAUAUAUAUAUAUAUAUAUAUAUAUAUAUAUAUAUAUAUAUAUAUAUAUAUAUAUAUAUAUCGAACUUUACAAGACUUGUUUAAUUCAAAUUGAAACUUUUGAAGGUGUAUUUAGUCAACGUAGAAUUAUAAGCGAAUACUUAAGCUUCCCCUUUCACUUCGUUUUGAUGUCUAGUUAUAUUGUUCAUUUCCUCAUGUAUAAAUUACUUCCAUUUAAAAAAAAACAUUAACUUUUUUACCGUUUAUUUAAAAAAAGAACGACUUUUUAUUAUAUUCUUGAUAACAAUACUUUAAUUUCAAUUUUUCACGUGAUAUAUUUAAGAUAAUAAUAUUAAAAAAUAUUUGACAUAUUUUUAAUUUAGAAUUACUAAAUUAUUAUUUUCUUUAAAAAAACUUUAUGUUAAAUUAAAUUAGGUCAUUAUUUUCAUAAUAGAAAAAAUAUUAUAUUCUCAAAUAUUUCACUUUCAGUGCUAGAAAGUAAGGUGCAAAAAUUAAUUUUACAACCUGUCCACCAUUAAUAAUGUAUUAAUACACAUGAUUCACACAUGUUUUUUAAAUGCUUACUUCCUCUUCGAUAUACUCUCUUCUUAGUACAUUGUUUUAUUUUGGAGUAAUAUUCAGAUUUUUUUUCUUGCUUGUUUUUUAAUCGAUAUUUCUAUUGUUUAAAUUUGCCUAAUCUUUAAACAAAUGUUUAUAGUAUGUCAAAAAAAAUUCUUUUUUUACCAUGAACAAGCCACAAAAGUUUAUAGUUUGUGUAAAAAUCAAUGUCCCUAAUAUCUAGUUUAUCUUUAAGUAUCCAACUAUAUCUAUUGUCUUCUUCGUCAGCUUCAAGGAACUAGUUAAUUUUUUUCCUCGACAACAAGACUAAAUUUUCGUAUUGAUAUAACAACAAAUCCUCGUAAAUGAACAUAGUAUACACUAUAAAAUUGAAGUAGUAGAUUUUCAUAUAGAAUGGAUUAAUCCUCUCUUAUAGAUACAUUUAACAAGUUGUCAUUUAAAAAAUUAAAAAAAAAAAUUACUAAUAAAUUAAAAAUGUGAUACGGAAUUCUAGAAGUAGAGAAGUAAUGUAUUUUUUAUGUCAAGUAUAUCAUAAAAAAAAAACAACAUUAAAUGAUAUUGUAAUACUAAAACAAACGUAAUUGAUAUUUCUAAAUAAUUUUUUCCAAAUAUGAAUCACUAUCCAGAGAACUACUCCUUUUUUGAUCUAGAAAUGUAUAAUCAUGAUUUUUCUAUAGACACAUUACAUAUAUAACAUGGUUUUUUUGACAAAUAAUGUUACCAGGAGUAUUAUUUAAUUCUGUCUGCCAUAACAUUAGCGAUAAGUAAACAUAUUACUUUUCCAUAUCCCACAAGUGAGAUCACACAAAGUAUAUAUGUUACUGUUGUGAGUGAAGCGGUUGAUCAAUUCAAUUUUGCUAUUGGAAAAGUACUUAGUACCAAAUGAAACUCAAGGAGAUUUCCAUCUUCAGCUAGUCGAUUCCAAACUCCCCUAGCUAGUAGGGCUCCAUAUGAACAUUGGAACAAUAAUGAGAAAAAUGCUACUUUACAUGCAUAGACCUUUUUCUAUCGGCGAAAUGCAUUUUAUUACAUACUUUGAGAAUGAACUAAAGAUUAAAAAUUUACCUCAAAUCACAAGCAAGUUUGCCUCAAAUAGAAAUAUGAAUUUUAUAAAUAUGAGCUGAAAUUAUUAGCUUUAAUCAGUAGUACCCCAUAAUGGAGGUGAGACAAUAUUAAGCUCAUCAACACACAAAUUUCAUAACGAGGAAUCAUUUGAUGAGUCAAUAAAUAACUACAACCCAUAACAAAGAUUACUUAUUAACAUAACCGGUAAAAGUCAGAACAGUCUGUAUAACACACCAAUUUGAUGAUGUCGUCUUGUUUUUCCUCUUCUUUAUAGUCCUCUCGAAUAAAUUCAAUCACAAAACAAUCAUUAAACAACAAUAUUUUUAAAAAAUUGUCAACAAUAUCAGUGUCAAGGUUGUCGUUAUAGCACUUUAGUGCAACGUUUUUUAUUCUCUCCAAUUCAUUGAUGCAACUUUCAACAUUAAGCCCAUUUUCCCUCCGGAGAUACCGUCGUAGGUACAACAAUUUGUACUUUUUUAUGGAGCCAAAUUGAGGAUUUUUCUUGUGAUAAGGACCAAUGGAUAUUAGCAUUGGCGUAUAAGCAUCUUCAUUUGAUUUUCCUAGCCCCACAUUUAGUUUGAAUAUGAUUGCAGAUUAUGAUGCAUGUAUUGUUGUCCAAAUCCUUAAGUAUUUCAUCAUAUCUUUGAUUUAUAGAUAACACUACUUUCUUCCCUUCGCCUAUUUGUAAUUACACUAAAGUAAUCAGAACAAAACAAAAUGUAAAAAUUGCAGUGUGUCUAGUGUGGAGGACAGAAUUUUAUUUAUGUAAUUAUAAUUAUUAUAAAUGGGAACAAAAAAGUUGAAAGUUGAAAUACCAAAAUAACCUUAUAUAGUUGAGUUACUACAAUAAUACCAUUAUAUUAUUAUUAUUAUUAUUAUUAUUAUUAUUAUUAUUAUUAAAUAGUAAUUUAAGUUUCAUAACAAAAAACUUUUUACAUACCACUAAGUGCAUUUAUGAGUAUUCCUUUUGCCAUUAUCAUUGAGUUGCAUUAACAAUUUUUCUUCUUAAUUGCUGAAUUUUGAGCACUUAAAAUAGUUACCGUUUUAGAUAAAAAAACUUAACAUUAGAGCAUAUGAAGAGAGAGGUUAGAGCAUAUGGAGAGAUUCAUACAAUAUCAAUAUUUAAUUGAAGAGAAUACAUGGUUAGAUGUCACCAUUUAUUAUUUUUCACUUUUUAAUGACUUUAAUUGCUUAACUUUUUAGCUUCUACAAUUAAAUAUAUUCAUUCACAACCUUUCAUAUACACGUACAAUUUCUCUCUUUAUAAGUUAAAUAGAAAAUAUUAGUCCAUUACACUUUAUAUUUUUCACAUCUUAUAGUUCUUAUGUAAUCUUUUAUUCAUUGGUCAUUUUUUUUAUUGAUAUAUUGCUUUGUUUAAUUAACUUCUUUCAUUUGUAUGGAAAUAUAGUGUUAGAUAUUUGACAAUAUUGACAAAUCAUAUAGUUGAAGUAGUAAUCUUUUUUUUACCAAUAAAUAUAGUGUAUUCCACAUGAUUAAAAUAAAUACUUUUUAUCAAUACAAUCAAAAAUUCUUCAAAUUCUAUUGAUCUUUGCAAGUUGCAACCUUAGUUGAAUGUUUUACCAGAAACAUCAUUUUUAUCCUUUAAAUAUUGUAUAAUGCAUCAAUUAUUCUAAAAUAAUUAUAUCAUUUGAAAUGUUUGGUAUUAAAUAACAUGAGAUACACGUGCAACGUACGUGUUCGAGAACUAGUGUAAUUAUAAUUACUUAAAAAUAAGUAAGAAAUAUAUCUCAAAAUUUAACUUUUUCAUUUCUAAUAAAGACUAAGUUUUUCGAGCGAAGAAAAGAAAAUUUCUGAGGUGAAUUAUCGUAAUCAAGUGAAAUACAAGAUUCUAUAUACAUGUUUUGCAGCUACAAGAUUCUAUAUACAUGAAUAGAUACUUGAAAUAAACUAAAUUAACAUUCAACUAUUAGAACACAGUACAAAAGGGGUGGACAUGAAAAACACAUAAGCUCAUCAACAUGUAUACUUGCAAAAUUACAAUUGAGACAAUGAUGAGAAUUACUUCUUAACGGAACCUGUGAAAGCUAGUAUAGUCUGUAUAGCUGUGAGUAUGAGGAGUAUGAUGGCUGCCACAGUUGAAGCUCCUACCCAAGGAUUACUAAAAUAAUUGUGCUUCAAAUUUGCCUUCAUUCUAUUCCAUGGUUUUUUACAAUGUUCAAUUGCUUUUAUGCAUUCUUCUUUGAAAUAGAAUUCGGAAUCGAUGAAAACUCCAUUUCCGAUUUUGUUGAAGAGGGUAGCCACCUCGUUGUCCUCUCCUAUCCAGUUCUCUAUGAUUCCUUUUUGGCGAAGUAAAGUCACAUCUUUGUCCGAGUCGAUAAGAUAAUCCAUGAAAGUUGCAAAAUCACUGAAAUAUUUUGGCAUCACAUCAUAUGAUUGUUGCUCAUAAGCAAUGAGAUUCCGUAGGAGGAUUUCUGUAUCAUCUUCGACUCGAAAACUAGGGAUUUUCAUCAAUCCAUUCUCGAACUUUAUACUAUUAAAUAAAUUUGUGUUAUCGCCAAGUUUAUCUUCCUUAACGAAGGUAACUCCAGCUUCGAAAAGCUCUGUUGCAUUUGGCAUGACCUUAUGAGAUAUUGUGCUAUCUUUUGAGUCUUCCAUUGGAUUCCCAUGACAUAAAAAUUUGUGUAUGAAGUAAAUGUUUUAUAUUUUCUGCAUCAUAUUCUAUCUCUCCAAAGGAUUCAAGGGUCAUUUUUGGCCAGUUAACAAGAAAGGUAAACACAUUAUUCACCUGUAUUUCCAAUGGUAAUUCAUCAUCUUGCUUUUUCAUGCCAUGAAGCUUGUCGAGGACAAAGAAAGGAAGUUGAUUUUCUAGUAACAUCAAAUCUCGAAAUAUGUAACAAUCAUGAACAUUAAUGAUUUCUUCUUCUUCUUUUGGAUAUAAUUUACAACGCUCUCGAAUAAACUCAACCACAAAACAACCAUCAAGCAAUAACAUUUGACAAAAUUGGUUAUUAUUACCAAGGUCUUCUUUAUCUUCAUAACACUUUAUUGCUUCCUCCUUCAGUUCUUUCAAUUCAUUGAUACACCUUUCCACAUCAAGCCCCUCUUUUCGUUGAAGAAACCGUCUUAGGUAUAAUAGUUUGUGCUUUUCCAUUGGACGAAGUUGAGGAUUUUUCUUAUGGUAAAGACCAAUAGAGAUCAUCUUUGGUGUAUAAGCAUAUGGAUUUGACUCACAUAGCACUACGAUUACUUUGGAUAUGGUACAAGAUUUAAUAGACGAAUUGUCUAAAUCCUCAAACAUUUCAUCAAAGAUUUGAUUUAUAGAUUUCUUUGUUUGUGACCCUACUAGAUCAUGACCACUUGUUUCCUUUAUAUCGAUUAAAUGAUCCACUUUCCUCCCUUCUUCUAUCUGUAACAAGAUAAGAGUCAUUGCUAAAAUUCAACACAUUCACACCAUGAAUAUUUGUAAAGAUCGAUGCAUAUGUUAAAAUUUCAUGACUAGUGAAUGUGUUAGGAUGAUGAGAUAGACCUAAAAUCACAUUGAAGAAUGUGAAAAAAACUUUUUAAUAUAGUUGAGAGAGAGACCUCAUCAUUUUCACUUUGAGGAAGCAGUGGAAUUUGGUCAUCUAUUGAAGUUAUCUCAAUAGUGUGUGCCAUCCCUUUUUUCUUCAACUCUAAUUCCUACAAAAGACCAAAUUAAUGGCAAAUUGAGUUGAGGGACUAUUAGAUAUAUAACCACAUUUUAUAUUAUUGAAAAAUUAUGGAGGAUUGUUAAAAACAUAUGUAAUAGAAAUAUAAUUUAACUAUUCAUUGAGUUUUCUUUUUAUACAUGCAUCUCAAAAAUUUAAAAAAAAUUCUUUGUAUAAAAUAAUUAAAAAUUACCUACGAUAUAUUUUCUUAGAUUGGAGAGAAGAAACCAUUUUGAGCAGUUGAUUUUCCUAGUUAAAAAUCUGAAACAAGAAUUGCCAAUGUGCUCCGUUUCACUAUACUUGCCUUUAGGGGUGAGCAUUCAAUAUUCGACUUGGGAUUUUCAAAUUUUAGAUUUGAGUUAAAAAUAGGUAUCAACCAUCAAUUUUUUUAAAUUUUGAUUUGAUAAUUCGGUAACCUUUAAAAUAAACUUUGGUUUGGUUAUUGGUAUGAUAUCCGGAAAUACCCUGUAAAUAGAAUGAAUUAAAAAUAUAUAUAAUUAAUUUUUAUUUUCAAAAAUUUCACGUGACUUUAAAAAAUUACCCCUGCAUACCGGACUCAAAUAAAAAGAAUCCAAUAAUUGUAAAACCACGAUUAUAUGAAAGGAAAUAGUCUAAAAAAUUCUAUAAUCUCUUGAAAUUCAUGCACAUAUAUAGCAAAAGAUUAUAUUGUUAAUUGCCAAAAGAAAAAUGAGUUAAUGAAAUAAAAAAAUUAAUUUAUAUAGUUGAGAGUUGUUUAAAUUUUACAAAUUAGAAGAAAAAUAUUUCUUAAUAAUGUUUUGGCUUUAUUUCAGUCAAUAGAAUUCAAUGACAAAAAGAUAAAGGUCUGACAUAGUAAAUAAAUAUAAAAUGUUAUUAUUAUUAAGGUUUUAUAAUUCGUCACUCUGAGACACGUUUUCUAGAUAAUUACGUUACUCGUAAUAACGUUGGAGGCAAAGGAAAAGGCAAAUUAAAGGAUCAUUCAUAGACUCAAGGUUGAGAUUCGAGAAUUCAUCCUCUUUUUGUAAACAUAGGAAAAUUUAGUUGAUAUUUUACGGAGUAGACUAUAGAUUUAAUAAUUUUUUAAGAAAAAUAGAUAUAUAUGUAAAAAUCACUAGAAUUCUAAAGAAACAUUACUAUGAGUAACGUUUUAGCUAUAAUAAAUUGAUAGUAUUUUAGCAAAGAACGAGAAAAUGCAGAGAAUUACCAAUUUGGUUUGGCUGUUUCUUCUUUUUUGUUAACAUAUAAACCCAUAAAUGGUGUUUACUAAUGACUACUUAUUUAUUCAUAUUAUAUGAUUAUUGUUCCCAAUAAUCUCCAUAAAAAGACUAUCAUGAUUUGCAAACGAAUUCAGGUAAAUUCAUGAAAAACUUAUUUAUGAUCUGCUUAUUUCCAAGUAUGUAUCAUCUAAGUCUACUUAUUUUAUUGUGUAUACAUAUCUUGAAGGCACGAAACUAAAAAAAAAAUAAAAAUUUGAAAUUUAAAAUAUUUCAUUAUUUGCGGUUUAGUUAAUUUUUGAUGUAUUUUUUUAAAUUAAAAUGUACUGAUGGGAAGAUGUGUAGGACAUAAAUUAAGGUAGAAUAUAAGCAGGUAAGAGUGCGACUAUACUAAUAAGUAUACGGCAUUUAAAAUUACCUGAUUCAAAAUGGACUAGUUGAACUGUACUUGAGUUUCUUUUUAAAUUCUUUUUCUCUGCUCAAUUUUUAUGAAGGUGAAGGAAUAUGAGAGAUGGUUAAUAUUAAAUUGUAUAUGGGUAUACUAUAUAUAGAUUAAUUGCAAACCUGUCUAUAUUACUGACAUAUCAUAGAAUAACACUUUGAGUGUGCAUUUUGAGAAAAAGUAUAAUGGAAUAAAUAAAGUUUUAAGUAUCAUAGAAUAAAGUGUAUAGACAUUAUAUUUAAGAAAACAUAUCAUAGAAUAAUGAAAUUCUAUCCCAUUAUUUUACAUGCAGUGAUGUAAAAUAUGGAAUUAAACAAAGAUAAAUUGAAAUGAGGAAUUCAAAAACUGAGUGUCUACUAAAAUACAAAGUACAUGCAAUAAGAAAAAUUUAAAUCAUAUAUUAAAUUAAAGAUAUCUAAUAUUUUUACCGAAUUAAUAAAAUACCUCGUAAUCAAGAUAAGUAGCAGACUAGUAUUUGGUUUAGGAGAUGGAACUUUAGGUACAAUUGAGACAAUUACUACUUAAUCACAUUUAUCUAGAAUGUUGGUUAUUAAAUAUCCAUAUUAUAUUAUUACUGUUAAAUAUAAUAUAAUAGCAAUUAUAAUUAAUAUUCUCACAAUUUUUUUUAUUUGUUAUAAUGUAUUGGAUAGGAUGUUGUAUAAGACAUUUAAAAAUUACCUGAUUCAAAAUGGACUAGUUGGAUUGCACUUGAAUUUCUUCUUAAAUUAUUUUGCUCCGCUCAACUUUUAUGAAGAUGAAGGAAUAUGAGAGAUGGUAAUAUCAAAUUGUAUAUGGGCAUACUAUAUAUAGAUUAAUUGCAAACCUACCUAUAUUAUUUACAUGAAAUUGUGUGCAUUUUGAGUAAAGUAUAAUAGAAUAAAUAAAGUUUUAAGUAUAAUAGAAUAAAGUGUAUAUAGACAUUAUAUUUAAGAAAACAUAUCAUAGAAUAACACUUUGAGUGUGUGUUUAAGCCACUAUUUAUUCUAAAAUUUGAUAUCAAGUAUAAUUGAAGAACAAAAGUUUUAGGGUGUGAUCAGUAUGAUCGAAAAUUUGCUAUUUAUUAAAAAAAUAUGUGAGUUUCUUAUUUAUAUUUAAUGUUUGAUAAAUAAGUUGAAUAUAAUAUUUGGAAAUAACAUUUGUAUAAAAUCUACACAAGCACAAUUAAGGUCGGUUGGGGGUUAAAGGACGUGAGGGUAGUGGGGAUGAAGACUAUAGGCGUAUCUAAAUUUUAAUAGGAUAAGUGGAUUAUUUUGAAAAGGACUAUUUACGAUAUAUUUUCUUAGAUAGGAGAGAGGAAACCAUUUUGAGCAGUUGAUUUUUCUAGUUAAGAAUCUGAUCCAAGAAUUCACAAUAUGCUCUAUUUCACUAUACUUGCCUUUAGGGGUGGGCAUUCAGUAUUUGACUUGGGAUUUUCGAAUUUUAGAUUUGUUAAUUCGGUAAUUGAUAGUUAAAAAUAGAUACCAACCAUCAGUUUUUAAAAUUUUGGUUCAAUAAUUUGGUAACCUUUAAAUUCAACUUUAGUAUGGUACGGUAUUCAAAAAUACCGUAUUGAAGUUAUAACCAAUUGUAUUACAAAGUUAAUACGAUCUAUCCAAUUAUUUUUAUUUUUUUAUAUGUGGAGGUACGAUAAUAGAAGAUUAACAAGCAAGAAGAUAUUAAGAAGAACAAAAUUGACACAACUAACAUGUAAUUAAAAAGACAUCAAGAAAAACAAAUUACUAUUCGUCGUCAGGGCUUUGAGUUAUUUGUUCUUAUUCUCACUCAAGUGAUAUAGGUUGGGAAGUUAACAUUUUUGAAGAGGAAGAAAACAUGAUGGAGUUUUUGUGACUACAUUAAUGUAAUUUAACAUGUUAGUUGAAAACGAAGUUUGUUUGUAGCAAAUCAACUAGAAACCUAAUAAACUUGAUAUAGAUGAAGUAUACACUGACUAUUUAAUUUCUAUCAACUUAAAUAAUUUUAGAUAUGAAAUCUUCUCGAUGUUUUUUUGAUAUGUAAUGAACCCUGUGAAAGCUAAAAUAGUCUGUAUAGUUGUGAGUAUGAGAAGUAUGAUGGCUGCGACAGUUGAAGCUCCUACCCAAGGACUACUAAAAUAAUUGCGCAACAAAUUUGCCAUCAACCUAUUAAAUCUUUUUUGACAGUGUUGAGAUGUUUUUAAGGAUUCAUUAUGGUAAUAAAAGGUGGAAUACAUAGUGACCCCAUUUCCGAUUUUGUUGAAGAGGCUAGACACGUCUUUGUCCUCUCCCAUCCGGUGUUUUAUGAUUCCUUUCUGGCGAAGUAAAUUGACAUCUUUAUCUGAGUCGAUAAGGUGAUCCAUGAAAAGUGCAUAGUCACUGAAAUAUUUAGGUUGUACUUCAGAUGUUUGUUGUUCGUAAGCAAUGAGAUUUCGCACGAAGGAUUCUGUUUCAUCUACAACUUCAAAACAAGGGAUUGUCAUCAAUCCAUCCUCAAACUUAAUAUCAAACAAAUUUGUAUUACUAUUUGUAUGAUUUGAAAACCUAACUCCAGCUUCAGAAAGCUCAGUUGCAUUUGGCAUGGCCUUAGUCCACGUUGUGUCGUCUUUUGAUGUUUUCGUGGGGUUCCCAUGACAUGAAAGUAUGUGUACUGCAUGAAGUAAAUGUUUGAUAUCACCUGCGUUAGAUGCUAUCUUUAUUAAGGGUGAAUCGGAAUGUUUAUGGAUAAUUUCUUCUAUGUCAACAAAAGAAGUAAACGACUUCACAGCUUGUAUUGCCAAUGGGAUAUCAUCAUCUUGCUUUGUCAUCUCAUGAAGCUUGUCGAGGACAAAGAAAGGAAGUUGGUUUUUUAGUAACAUCAAAUCUCGGAGUAUUUGCUUAUAUAUGCAACCAAUGUCACUUUUGAUGAUUUCGUCUUCUAGUCUUGGGCCUAUCUCAACACGCUCUCGAAUAAACUCAACCACAAAACAACCAUCAAGUAACAACAUCUUGCAAAAUUCGCGGCUUCCAAUAUUGAGGUCUUCUAUAUCAUCGUAACAAUUCCUUGCUUCCUCCUCCAACUCAUUGAUGCAACUAUCCAAAUCAAGACUCUCCUUUCGUCUAAGAAACCGUCGUAGGUACAAUAGUUUGUUCUUUUGCAUUGGACGAAAUUGAGGUUUUCCAUUAUGGUAAGGACCAAUAGAGACCAUCUUUGGUGUAUAAGCAUCUGGAUUUGAUUCACGUAGCCCCACAUUUACUUUGAAUAUGCUAAUUGGUUUAACACG
rnacentral:lncRNA from 1 species